UAGCUAAAUUAGAGUGAACUGUUCGCUUUUACAGUGUUUUUUCCCUUUCAACUCAACCACUGUCAUAGUGGAGCAACAGUUUGAAGAGAAUACUGCUGAGCAAAUUUUGAAGAUUUUAUUCCCAUCUUGGUGUUUCCAUCCAAAACAAUUUAUGCAAUAUCCCAAAAGUCUGAAAUAAUAUGUAGAUGGAAUCCCCGAUAUUGACUCACUCAACCAAUGGCGUGGGUCUAGGGAGAGAAGAAAGCUACGGUUGAAGGCUAAAGCACAAAGAGCCAUAACAGCACACAGCAGACCGGUGAGGAGCAGUCGACCACCAGCUUCAGUCAGACUGACAGACGGGUGAAGAGGUGACUCUUCAAGAAGAACCAGCUGCACGGCUGCUAUUGGAACAAGACAACAACUCCAUUUCAGCCAGUUUCUGCAGUCUGUUAGGAAGAGGAACAGAAAGAAUUGAGAAAGAGAUAAUCAUAAAAUUAGCAUAGCAGGCUAAGUUAUGAUCCUCGAAUCUGAUUGGCCAAGCAAAAUUCUAAGAGUGCUGAUAUUUAGUAUAACAGCACUGGGAUGCCUCACUAUUUGUAUCACUCCGCUUGUCUGUCUUUGAAGCUUUUUCCAAUUAGCGGCUGGGAUUUUGAUUCAUCGUUCAUUUUUAUUUCAUUCAUUGAUUUGCGGAGUGACAGUCUCUGGAGAUUCAGAAAAUUCAGAAAAUACAGUACAAAUGAGUGUAUUUUUAAUCUUUUUUAACAACUAAUAUUUAAAAAAAUAUACAUUUUGACAUCAUAUAUUUACACUUGGCUCGUCCUCUAACUACUUGAGAGACUUUUGGAAACCUGAUGAUAUUUCUGAUAAGUAAUCAUAGUGAGCAACAAUGCUCCCUGAUUUUUAUGGUGCAUUCUUAGAAUUUUUGGGGAGCAAACGUUUCAGUACACUGGAACAAUUUUGCGAAUGGGACAGCCUUAGAAAUGGCCGACUCCCUGACCAGAGCCCUGACAACUGAACAAGGGAGCUGAUUGGGACACACACAAUGGAAGUGAACGAGAAUAAUUUGUCUACAAGGUGUACUCAGUAAUGAUUUGAAUUUGUCAUCUUGGACUUAGACUGACACCUAGGGGCUUGGAUGCAGCAUCAUUUAAACACAAUAGUUUUCAGUUUCUGAUGCCAUUGUAAAAAAAAUUAAAUAUUUACAGUCAGUCAUUAUUUAUUUUUUUAUCCCCUUUUCUCCCCAAUUUGGAAUGCCCAAUACCCACUACUUAGUAGGUCCUCAUGGUGGCACGGUUACUCACCUCAAUCCGGGUGGUGGAGGACAAGUCUCAGUUGCCUCCGCUUCUGAGACCGUCAAUCUGCGCAUCUUAUCACGUGGCUCGCUGUGCAUGACUCCCCGGAGACUCACUGCUUGUGGAGGCUCAUGCUACUCUCCGUGAUCCACGCACAAUUUACCACAUGCCCCAUUGAGAGCGAGAACCCCUAAUUGUGACCACAAGGAGAUUACCCCAUAUGACUCUACCCUCCCGAGCAACUGGGCCAAUUUGGUUGCUUAGGAAAGCUGGCUGGAGUCACUCAGCACACCCUGGAUUCGAACUUGUGACUCUAGUGGUGGUAGUCAGCGUCAAUACUCGUUGAGCUACCCAGGCCCCACAGUCAGCCAUUAUUAAUUUAAUUCAUGAGUGAAAGUUUCCAAUAACCGAGUGUUUAUUGAGAUUAAGUGAGUAGUAUUCGCUGGUCAUGUGAUUCUAACAUGGCAGCCCACAUGAGGGGACCCUCUCCAUGUAGAAUAAAACACCUUUUAUAAAGUAACUGAUAUGACUGCAGUCUUCAUCUCAUGUGAGUGAACAUGACUUUAUACAUAUGUUUCAAAAUUACAAUUGAUUUUUGGGAUACUUCACUGGACACUGCCUGAAACUUGGACUUAAGAUGGAAUCCACCGGAAAUGAAUCUGCCACAAGCUGACAGUCGAACUGCAAUGCACCUUACUGACCUCUGCCUACUACAUCACCUCGAUCAAAGGAUGGACUACACUCUUAAAAUAGAAUACAUAGAUAAUAAAUUAACUGCAGCCCUCAUCAGCCAAAUAACAAUAGACAAUGCAUCUGUUUGCACUUCCGCAGUUAGUUAACAAUGUAAAUUCUAAGACUUUAGUCAUUAAUUUUACAGUUCAUAAUAUCUUUUUGUUUAAACAUUAAUUUUAAAUCUAGACUUGCACUGCACAUAAAUAACUAAUAUUGGCAUCAUAUUCAUGUUGUUUAGUCAGAGGGGAACUGGCCCCCACAGUGAGCCUGGUUUCUCCCAAGGUUAUUUUUCUCCAUUAACCAACAUCUUAUGGAGUUUUGUAUUCCUUGCCACAGUCGCCUUCGGCUUGCUCACUGGGGUUAUAAGUAUAAAUAUAAUUAUUUUCUAUAAUUUAUUUUAAGGCACAGUUUACAAGCGUUUUUUUUUUUUUUUAAACCGCACUAUUAUGACUCGAAUACAUUACUAUAUUACAGCUUUUUCUGUUAAAGCAUCAUUUUCUGUAAAGCUGCUUUGAAAUGAUGUGUGUCGUGAAAAGCGCUAUACAAAUAAAAAUGACUUUGAUUUCUUUUUUUCUUUAAAAUGAGGGUAAAAAACUGAGUGCACCUUUAAGAUAUUCAUUCAAAACAGAUUCGAAUACGAACACUAGUUCAAAACCCGAGUGUUAAAGAAGUGCAGCGAGCGAGUUGUGUUUGAUAUUUUGGCUUCUUUUUUUAACUAUUUUCUUUGGCGGAGAAAUAAUACGAAUACGGGUGUAUAAAACAAAAAUCGAGAUGCAAUCAAAAAGUUACACCUCUCAUAAACAAGGCAACAUUAUGUAAUGUCUGUGUGUGUGUGUGUGUGUGUGUGUGUGUGUGUGUGUGUGUGUGUGUGUGUGUGUGUGUGUGUGUGUGUGUGUGUGUGUGUGUGCGCGCGCCCUCUCCUCUAAAAUAGCUGUGAGUGUGAGCCGAGUGAAAAUAAACUGGAUAACAUCACAACGGUUCACUGCUCACUUGUCGACAGCUCGUCUAACCCAUUCUCACCCCUCCAAACACUUACGUUAUCCAUCAAUGCUCUCUUUCGAUCCUCUCCUCCACCCCUUUCCCUCUGCUCAUCAUUCCAGCCAGCAUCUCCUUCUCCUCCACCCUAUGCUCCUCUGACCUUCUUCACCUUAUUCCACACAUCGCCCGCGCUCAGCUGAGGCAUGGAUCCUCACGGACGACUUGGGUGUUUUGGUUCCUCAAACCAUGCCGUGAUUUUCCAGAAACACGAGUUGGUCCGGCAGGUUUAACUCAUCAGACACUAUAAUGAUUUUUGUUCUCCUUGCUGGGUUGUAAGAAGGAUUUGUGAGGAAUGUGAUAUGGUGGGGAUGUUCGUGAGUGCCCAACCCUGACCUCACCUGCACCAGCUGUCACCACUCCCAGUUUAAAUAUAGCCCAAAACACAAUAUACGUCAGUCAUUGAUAGAUUACAAACACAGCAGAUGAAGAUGUGGAGCAAGUGCACAGCAGACUUAAAGGAAUAGUUCACCCAAAAAUGAAAAUUCUCUCAACAUUUACUCACCC